rnacentral:rRNA from 1 species
UACGUAGGGUGCGAGCGUUGUCCGGAAUUAUUGGGCGUAAAGAGCUCGUAGGCGGUGUGUCGCGUCGGCCGUGAAAACCUGCAGCUUAACUGUGGGCUUGCGGUCGAUACGGGCAUCACUGGAGUUCGGCAGGGGAGACUGGAAUUCCUGGUGUAGCGGUGAAAUGCGCAGAUAUCAGGAGGAACACCCGUAGCGAAGGCGGCACUCUGGGCCGAUUCUGACACUGAGGAGCGGAAAGCGUGGGGAGCGAACAGG